rnacentral:rRNA from 1 species
AGCUCUGUAAGCGUAUACCAAAGUUGUUGCAGUUAAAACGCUCGUAGUCGGAUUUUGGCGUGUGCUACUGAUUCUCCUGAAGGACGUUGAUGUAGCUCCGCCUUUGUGGAGGGGGGUGCGGUGGUGCUUUAUUGUAUUGCCGCAUUUCCGCCACUGUUUACUGUGAAAAAAUUAGAGUGUUCAAAGCGAGCGAUUGCCAUGAAUACAUUAGCAUGGAAUAAUAGAAUAGGACCUGGUCCUGUUUUAUUGGUUUGUCGGUAUCAGGUAAUGAUUAAGAGGGACGGUCGGGGGCAUUUGUAUUCCAGCGCUAGAGGUGAAAUUCUUGGAUUGCUGGAAGACAAACAGCUGCGAAAGCGUCUGCCAAGGACGUUUUCA